rnacentral:rRNA from 1 species
UAGGGAAUCUUCCGCAAUGGGCGCAAGCCUGACGGAGCAACGCCGCGUGAGUGAUGAAGGUCUUCGGAUCGUAAAACUCUGUUAUUAGGGAAGAACAAAUGUGUAAGUAACUAUGCACGUCUUGACGGUACUUAAUCAGAAAGACACGGCUAACUACGUGCCAGCAGCCGCGGUAAUACGUAGGUGGCAAGCGUUAUCCGGAAUUAUUGGGCGUAAAGCGCGCUUAGGCGGUUUUUUAAGUAUGAUGUGAAAGCCCACGGCUCAACCGUGGAGGGUCAUUGGAAACUGGAGAACUUGAGUGCAGAAGAGGAAGGUAGAAUUCCAUGUGUAGCGGUGAAAUGCGCAGAGAUAUGGAGGAACACCAGUGGCGAAGGCGACUUUCUGGUCUGUAACUGACGCUGAUGUGCGAAAGCGUGGGGAUCAAACAGG